rnacentral:lncRNA from 1 species
AAGAGGAGGUCAGAUCAGAUGCACUAUACAGAAGCUGGCAAAAUCGGAACAAAGGUGGAAGGAACUAAACAGAUCAUGCCUUCAGUCCACCCUAGGUCCCCAUCACAGAGGGAGGGCAUUGCCAUGCAUGUCCCCACAGAGAUGCUCCUUGGAGGGUGUCUGGGCAGAUCCUGUCCACUAUUGCCAACUCCAAGGUGAUUAACCUUGUGUCUGCCCAUAGUAAUCAGGUUGACACAAAACCUACCCUCUCCCUUGCAUGUCUUAGCAGUCCCUGAGUUAGCAAAUGUGAGGAGGCCACUCCAGCCAAAGUCCUGCCUCUGAUGUUCCAGUCCAGCCCACAGGCGUUCAUAACAAUGCUUUGCCUAGCAGACCUCAUGGGGACUGCACACUCCACACCAGACCGGUGCACAGGCAAGACACUGCAGUGCUCUGGAGGGAGUUGUGGUCAAGGACUCACAGCCCCCAAAUCUCAGGCCAGAGAGGGACAGACACACAUCCGCACUCCUAGCCUUGUGUCUCUAUUAAGACAUCACCUUAUUGGGCCUCAGCAGAAGACCGCGCUUCCUAGCAGGAGCCUGUGGUUCUGGGCUCCUCCCAGGGAGACAGUCCCUCCCCCAUCCUCUAUAUGUGCUUCAUCCAUGUAACCCUUUGCAAAAUCUUUCAGUAGGGGAAAGAUGGAACCCUGGAGAGCCAGGGUGCUAUACUUUAGAGGCUUGUCACAUCCAAGUGUUAUAUUGCAACUGAAUCCCCAAGUUUAGAGGUGAGGCCUGAUGCACCAGGUCUGGGUCAUGGAGACCAACACUGCAUGAAUAACUUAGUGCCCUCCCUGGUCAGGGGUGAGUUCUUCUCUUAGUUCCUAGCAAGAGCUGGUGGUUGAAGAGUCUGAGCCCUCCCUCUUGCUCUCUCUUCCUUCCUCCCUCACCUUGUGACCUCUGCCCAGGCCACCUCCCCAUCCCUUUCUGCUAGGAGUACAAGCAGCCCGAGGCCCUCAUCAGAAGCUGAGCAGACGCCUGCACCAUGGUCCUAUGCAGCCUGCAAAGCCAAGACCCAAAUCAGCCUCUUUCCUCAUGAACAAACCAGCCCCAGCUAUUCCUUUCCAGCCACACUAAAAGGCAAAGACCUGGCACUUUCCUCUUCUCCCUCUGCUUGCGCUGCCUCGGUCUCCUGUGCUGUGAACUCAUCCAGGGACAAAGGUCCUGCUGGAGACCAGACUGAGCCCUCCAUUUCUCUAAUCCUGGGGUAUCUUUCUAUCUGUUAGAGGAUGCCCCCACCAUGCCAUCCCACAUCUGCUGAUGCAUGGACUGACUAGGACAUCAGACGCCAUUGCUGAGGCUCGGACACUGCCAGAAAAAAACAUUUGUCCAGAAGUAGAGAGUGAGCCCUAGUGGGGGUGAGAAGAUUCUGUACCUACUGUUGAUGCAGGU